rnacentral:rRNA from 1 species
UACGUAGGGGGCAAGCGUUGUCCGGAAUCAUUGGGCGUAAAGAGCGUGUAGGCGGCUCGGUAACUCCGCUGUGAAAGUCCAGGGCUCAACCCUGGAAUGCCGGUGGAAACUGUCGAGCUAGAGUCCGGAAGAGGCGAGUGGAAUUCCUGGUGUAGCGGUGAAAUGCGCAGAUAUCAGGAGGAACACCAAUGGCGAAGGCAGCUCGCUGGGACGGUACUGACGCUGAGACGCGAAAGCGUGGGGAGCAAACAGG